rnacentral:rRNA from 1 species
CCUACGGGAGGCAGCAGUGGGGAAUAUUGCACAAUGGGGGAAACCCUGAUGCAGCGACGCCGCGUGAGUGAAGAAGUCCUUCGGGAUGUAAAGCUCUAUCAGCAGGGAAGAAAAUGACGGUACCUGACCAAGAAGCCCCGGCUAACUACGUGCCAGCAGCCGCGGUAAUACGUAGGGGGCAAGCGUUAUCCGGAUUUACUGGGUGUAAAGGGAGCGUAGACGGUUGUGCAAGUCUGGAGUGAAAGGCGGGGGCCCAACCCCCGGACUGCUCUGGAAACUGUAAAACUGGAGUGCAGGAGAGGUAAGUGGAAUUCCUAGUGUAGCGGUGAAAUGCGUAGAUAUUAGGAGGAACACCAGUGGCGAAGGCGGCUUACUGGACUGUAACUGACGUUGAGGCUCGAAAGCGUGGGGAGCAAACAGGAUUAGAUACCCGAGUAGUC